rnacentral:rRNA from 2 species
ACGGGUGAGUAAUGCCUAGGAAUCUGCCUGGUAGUGGGGGACAACGUUUCGAAAGGAACGCUAAUACCGCAUACGUCCUACGGGAGAAAGCAGGGGACCUUCGGGCCUUGCGCUAUCAGAUGAGCCUAGGUCGGAUUAGCUAGUUGGUGAGGUAAUGGCUCACCAAGGCGACGAUCCGUAACUGGUCUGAGAGGAUGAUCAGUCACACUGGAACUGAGACACGGUCCAGACUCCUACGGGAGGCAGCAGUGGGGAAUAUUGGACAAUGGGCGAAAGCCUGAUCCAGCCAUGCCGCGUGUGUGAAGAAGGUCUUCGGAUUGUAAAGCACUUUAAGUUGGGAGGAAGGGUUGUAGAUUAAUACUCUGCAAUUUUGACGUUACCGACAGAAUAAGCACCGGCUAACUCUGUGCCAGCAGCCGCGGUAAUACAGAGGGUGCAAGCGUUAAUCGGAAUUACUGGGCGUAAAGCGCGCGUAGGUGGUUCGUUAAGUUGGAUGUGAAAUCCCCGGGCUCAACCUGGGAACUGCAUCCAAAACUGGCGAGCUAGAGUAUGGUAGAGGGUGGUGGAAUUUCCUGUGUAGCG